rnacentral:rRNA from 1 species
AACGAACGCUGGCGGCAUGGCUAAUGCAUGCAAGUCGAACGAAAGCCCUUCGGGGCGAAAGUGGCGAAAGGGCGAGUAAUACGAUCGAACGUACCCCAAGGUGGAGGAUAGUGUCGGGAAACUGACGGUAAUACUCCAUGUGCUCUUCGGAGGAAAGCUUUGGCGCCUCGGGAGCGGCGAUCGUCCUAUCAGGUAGUUGGUGAGGUAAUGGCUCACCAAGCCGAAGACGGGUAGCGGGUGUGAGAGCAUGACCCGCCGCAUCGGGACUGAGACACUGCCCGGACUCCUACGGGAGGCUGCAGCGACGAAUCUUCCGCAAUGGGCGCAAGCCUGACGGAGCAAUGCCGCGUGUGGGACGAAGCGUCUUCGACGUGUAAACCACUGUCAGAAUCUAGGAACACUGACCAGAUUCAAAGGAAGGGCCGGCUAACCUCGUG